rnacentral:rRNA from 1 species
GACGAACGCUGGCGGCGUGCCUAAUACAUGCAAGUUGAGCGAUGAAGAUUGGUGCUUGCACCAAUUUGAAGAGCAGCGAACGGGUGAGUAACGCGUGGGGAAUCUGCCUUUGAGCGGGGGACAACAUGUGGAAACGAAUGCUAAUACCGCAUAAAAACUUUAAACAUAAGUUUUAAGUUUGAAAGAUACAAUUGCAUCACUCAAAGAUGAUCCCGCGUUGUAUUAGCUAGUUGGUGAGGUAAAGGCUCACCAAGGCGAUGAUACAUAGCCGACCUGAGAGGGUGAUCGGCCACAUUGGGACUGAGACACGGCCCAAACUCCUACGGGAGGCAGCAGUAGGGAAUCUUCGGCAAUGGACGAAAGUCUGACCGAGCAACGCCGCGUGAGUGAAGAAGGUUUUCGGAUCGUAAAACUCUGUUGGUAGAGAAGAACGUUGGUGAGAGUGGAAAGCUCAUCAAGUGACGGUAACUACCCAGAAAGGGACGGCUAACUACGUG